CAAUUCAGUUUCACCUUUGUGUGGCAGGUCGGGUGUUGCUCUGCUCCACCCCCUCCCACUUAAUCAGUAUCACCGGUGCUUGAUUGCGCAUUGGCAGCACCUGGUUAACUACUGCGCUCCUCCGGGGCGCAUUCUCUCCCUGGCAUUCACCUGGAAAGGCUCUGGGUCGGCGUGCUCCAGUUUGGUUGGUGUUCGGUGUGAUUUCGCCAGUUUUGGCCGUACUGGUUGGGUUGCAGCUGGAGGAAGUGGUGUCCGCGUUCUGCUGUUGUUGAGGACUGGUUUUUUUAGUGCGUAAAGCUCUCUCUAUCGGUAAGCAUGCUCGUUGUUAAUCAUGGUUAACUAUAGUAGCCCUUUGCUAACAGCUGUUGCCCUCUGCUCUGUCCUGCUGUAGCUGCUGAAUUUGCAGCGGUUCUGUCUCUCCUCCUGCGCUCUGUGGAUCCACUGCACAGCCUAUUGAUGACCACCGCAGCCACCUACGCAUAACAUCCGCUGCCUCCAGCCUUGGUGCAGCCGCUCCGUUUUCACGCUGUCUUCCACACCGUAGUUUCUUUUUCUUAAUGUCCUGAGUUUCUGUUGUGGCUCUCACGCAGCACCAGACUCAAGCCCCACUGCAACUGACUUAUUAGUGUUUCUUUGUUUGUUUGGUUUAUUUAUUUCUUGUUUAUGUAGUUGUUUUGGGUAAUCAGUUAAUUUGCAAGCUCUUUGGUUUCUUUAUUUUGAAUUACAGAUGGUUAUUUUGUUUAGUUCUAAUUUAGUUACAUUUCUGAUUUUGUUUAUUCUUAUAUAAGUAAAUUUUCUUUAAGUAUUUCUAUAUAGGUUAAAACAAUUAAUGUGUAUUCUUUCUGUUGGUGUGCAUGUGGGUGUGAAUGUUGUGUGUGAGUGUUUUUAGAAUAGGACAUUUUAAUAAUUCGUAUAGUUCAACCUUUGAGUGUCGCUCCACCUAAUUUUGUGUGUUUUCUUCCUGGACAGGAGCUGGUGUAGUGCGUGGCAGACUCCCUGGUGGUGGUCCCAUCUCACCUCCCUUAAGUUUGCUGUGGCACGUGGUGGUUUGGUUUGUAAUAUUGUUUUUGUGUGUUUUUAAGUUUCUUUAGUCUGUCCGCCUCACUGAGCUGUCCCUGCUCCUAUUUUUGUUUAUUUUCCCCCCUAACGAAUGGUGGUAUAGCAGACACGCAGGUUGUGAAGAAUAUGUUCAUUUUACCUCUAGUAAACCAUUGUUAAAUAAAAUAAUUUAUAUUUUUGGAA